UUCAUUAAAGGAAAAAAAGAAUUUUAUAUCCCGUACUUUCUCUAGCUUCAAUUCCUUCUAUUUUAAUUCCUUCUCACUCUUUUAUUCUCCCUUUUCAGGAAAUCAAAAAACAUGUCCUAGAAGUUCUCUCUCUCUCUCUCUCUCUCUCUCUCUCUCUCUCUCUCUCAAGAGUAAGAGCAGUAGACUGUCUUUAUCCACGCGGUAUUCACCCCAAGACCUCCAAUGGAUGGAUGCUAGGCCUCCCCAACUCUGUGGUUUUAUUAUACAUACACACCUUGAUAAAGUUGAACUUAGGUGAGGCACAGAAAGAGAUCAGUGAUGACUUAGAACAAGUUGGGACAACUGUAAGGACAAGCACAGUCCAAGUGACAAGACGGUAGGCCUUCUGCUUCUUGUGGUUUGCUGUCGAUUGCUUUGGUAAAGCACCAUGGCCAAAAGCAACCUAGAGAGGAGAGGGUCUAUUGCAGCUUACAUGUCCCAAUCACAGCCUAUCACUGAGGGAGAUCAGAGAAGGAACUCAACUCAGGAACCUGAAGACAAGAACUGACACCGAGGGUAUGGAGGCCACGGAGGCCACGGAGGCCACAGAGGCCAGGGAGGGCAGUGGUUUGCUCUCUUGCUCUAGGAGGCUUCCUUGGCCUGCUUUCUUUUCCCACCAAGGACCAGCAUCACAGGUGUGGCUCUGCCCACAGUGGGUUGGGCCCUCCCACAUCUAUCAUCAAUCAAGAAAAUGUACCACAAACUUGCCUAUAGCAAGCAAGACAUGGUGGUGCAUCUUCUCUGUUGACCAUCUUGUUUCCCAAAUGGUUCUACUAUAGGUAAGGUGACAUAGAACUAGCCACAAUAGUUAAACUUGCCUCUUCUAUAAUUUUUUGUGCUUUUUAGGGUCAUGAUCCUGGACACCUGAAACUUCAAAAUAAAGAAACCAUAGACAAAAGGAGUUAAGGCUCUUCCACUAGAUUCCGGGGCUCCCUGAUCAGGCGAGGCUGACUGGUCAUCAAUUCCCAGCAGUCUACCCAUCUCCACUGCCUCAUUGCUGAGAUUAUAGCAGCCUGGGUUUUUAUGAGCUACCUGGAGCUUCCUGAGCAUACGUUGUGGAGCCACCAAGCCAGAGGCGAACCUCAUGCCAGAAUCUAUGAAGCCUUGUGGGUUUCGCUGUGUAACAGGCCUGGCUAUCCUGGAACUUUGAACAGCAGGAUGGCCUUGAAUUUACAGAAUUCACCAAACUCUGUUUCUGGGAUUAAAGGUGUGUGCCACCAUGCCAAGCUCAAAUUAUUUUUGAGAGAGAGUUCUGUAUCAAAAUGAUAACUUCCUUGUUUUUAAUGACAUCAUUGAUGUCAUCACAUCCUGACAGACACGGUUCCAAGGUGGCCUGGUGUCAAGAGGCAUUGGUUUUUCUCCUCAGUUUCUCUGGAAUGGAAAAUUCUUUUACCCAUUGCUCUGUGGCAUCUGUCUUUUCAGAAAAAUAAAAGACCUGUCCUGUAUCAAAUCUACUCCAUCUCCUGGAGUACAGACCGUGGCAGCUUCAAGGUGACCCCUAAUGGCUCCUUAAUGCUGGUAUCUUGCCCCAGGAUGUCCCCCCUCCAUGCAGAGGAUUGUUUUGUGUGCUCGAGAAGAGCAACAGAGAGCAUGGCACACCGCUACUGCGUAGGUUUCGAAAGCCAUCUCCCGUCUUACAUCUUUCAUCUUCCCUCUUUCUGUUCAUGUCUCUGAUACCCCAACACCUUCAACACAUCUAUCACUUGCAGAGGGGAAAAACCAGCAUGAUGCCUUGCGACAUUUAGGCUAUUGAAGGAGAAGUUCCAGAAAACAGACGACUGCAUUAUUGAGUCUGGCAAACAGAUCCUUCUUCAGUUGAAACACUGGCUCCUGAGGACACCUUUCCUGCAGUACCAUGAAAGUUCAUCAGUCAGAACUUUCUGGAGCUUUCACUCAGAACCCAUAAAAUAAACGAUGAAAGUCCA